GGGGACGAAAAGGUUUCGACGUGGAUUACAAAGCUCAAGGUGCAUGUCGUGAUGGUAGCGAAUCACGUAAAUCCAAAGCUGCAAAACAAUAGUUGCAAAUGAUGACAACUUCGAGGGCGCUCUAGCAGCAUAAACCCUCAAAACUGGGUCAAUUAGUCACCCGGCGGUCACUGGCCUGUGCCUGAACGGCGCCUACUGACUGUCAAUAAUUCAGGAUCGCAGCAAAGGUUGUCUGGGCCGGAGCUGUUAAACUUUAAUCCCAGGCUCCCGUUUACGCUCCUGCCCUUCGGAAACGUAACCGGUAAAUUAAAGAAGAGGCUACACAUGUAGGACCGAGAGUGGAGAGUUUGCGGACGCGGGUUCAAUUCCCGCCGUCUCCACCA
rnacentral:tmRNA from 1 species